rnacentral:rRNA from 1 species
GACGUAGGGCGCGAGCGUUGUCCGGAUUUAUUGGGCGUAAAGAGCUCGUAGGCGGUUUGUCGCGUCUGCUGUGAAAACCUGGGGCUUAACUCUGGGCUUGCGGUCGAUACGGGCAUCACUGGAGUUCGGCAGGGGAGACUGGAAUUCCUGGUGUAGCGGUGAAAGUGCGCAGAUAUCAGGAGGAACACCGGCGGGCGAAGGC